rnacentral:rRNA from 1 species
GAUGAACGCUGGCGGCGUGCCUAAUACAUGCAAGUCGAGCGAACAGACGAGAAGCUUGCUUCUCUGACGUUAGCGGCGGACGGGUGAGUAACACGUGGAUAACCUACCUAUAAGACUGGGAUAACUUCGGGAAACCGGAGCUAAUACCGGAUAAUAUAUUGAACCGCAUGGUUCAAAAGUGAAAGACGGUUUUGCUGUCACUUAUAGAUGGAUCCGCGCUGCAUUAGCUAGUUGGUAAGGUAACGGCUUACCAAGGCAACGAUGCAUAGCCGACCUGAGAGGGUGAUCGGCCACACUGGAACUGAGACACGGUCCAGACUCCUACGGGAGGCAGCAGUAGGGAAUCUUCCGCAAUGGGCGAAAGCCUGACGGAGCAACGCCGCGUGAGUGAUGAAGGUCUUCGGAUCGUAAAACUCUGUUAUUAGGGAAGAACAAAUGUGUAAGUAACUAUGCACAUCUUGACGGUACCUAAUCAGAAAGCCACGGCUAACUACGUG